UACGUAGGCAGCAAGCGUUGUUCGGAGUUACUGGGCGUAAAGGGUGCGUAGGCGGUCCUAUAAGUAUGGUGUGAAAUCUCCCCGGCUUAACUGGGAGGGUGCGCUAUAGACUGUGGGACUAGAGUGUGGGAGAGGAAAGUGGAAUUCCUGGUGUAGCGGUGAAAUGCGUAGAUAUCAGGAGGAACACCGGUGGUGUAAACGGCUUUUCUGGACCAUAACUGACGCUGAGGCACGAAAAGCGUGGGUAGCAAACAGG
rnacentral:rRNA from 1 species